rnacentral:rRNA from 1 species
AUGGCUCGAACAAAGAUCACAGCUCGUCAGUCCACUGGAGGGAAGGCUCCCACGAAGCAGCUUAGGGCUUUCUAUGUUGGAAUGCUAGCAACUCGUCCAUCUUCCCGUAACAAGUAACAUAUCUUUUGUAAUGGUUUAUUGGACAAUAAUGAAAUACGCAAGUAUCAGAAAGGCACUGAACUGCUCAUAAGGAAGAUGCCCUUUCAGAGGCUUGUCCGGGAGAUUGCUCAGUUUUCCAAGAGUGACCUAUGCUUCCAGAGCCAUGCUGUUCUAGCUCUGCAAGAGGCGGCGGAAGCGUACCUAGUGGGUCUGUUUGAGGACACCAAUCUAUGUGCUGUCCAUGCCAAGCGUGUGACCAUCAUGUCCAAAGACAUUCAACUGGCUAAGAGGAUCCACGGUGAAAGAAUGUAA